rnacentral:rRNA from 2 species
AGCGGCGGACGGGUGAGUAACACGUGGGUAACCUGCCUGUAAGACUGGGAUAACUCCGGGAAACCGGAGCUAAUACCGGAUAGUUCCUUGAACCGCAUGGUUCAAGGAUGAAAGACGGUUUCGGCUGUCACUUACAGAUGGACCCGCGGCGCAUUAGCUAGUUGGUGAGGUAACGGCUCACCAAGGCGACGAUGCGUAGCCGACCUGAGAGGGUGAUCGGCCACACUGGGACUGAGACACGGCCCAGACUCCUACGGGAGGCAGCAGUAGGGAAUCUUCCGCAAUGGACGAAAGUCUGACGGAGCAACGCCGCGUGAGUGAUGAAGGUUUUCGGAUCGUAAAGCUCUGUUGUUAGGGAAGAACAAGUGCAAGAGUAACUGCUUGCACCUUGACGGUACCUAACCAGAAAGCCACGGCUAACUACGUGCCAGCAGCCGCGGUAAUACGUAGGUGGCAAGCGUUGUCCGGAAUUAUUGGGCGUAAAGGGCUCGCAGGCGGUUUCUUAAGUCUGAUGUGAAAGCCCCCGGCUCAACCGGGGAGGGUCAUUGGAAACUGGGAAACUUGACUGCAGAAGAGGAGAGUGGAAUUCCACGUGUAGCGGUGAAAUGCGUAGAAAUGUGGAAGAACACCAGUGGCGAAAGCGACUCUCGUGGUACUGUAACUGACACUGAUGAGCGUAAAGCGUGGGGGGCUGAACACUGAUUAGAUAUCCCUUGUAGUACACGACAGUCACGAUCAGCUAGCUGAGUGUUCAUGGGGAUUUCUGCCGCAUUAUAGCUGCUGCUGAUGGCAAUUACAACUUCCUCCUGCUGAAUACUGUUGUCACUACUGAACAAUCAACCGACUUAUGUCAGCGCUGCAUUGUGGAGCGAUGUGAGGUGACUGCAUGCAGUCAUGAGCAUACUAGUCCUGACAUGCCUUGGCACAUAAUAUACGCGUGCUCCGUACAAGACAAGGAUCGUGAUGACGUCGUC